rnacentral:rRNA from 1 species
CACAUGCAAGUCGAGGGGCAGCAUUUUAGUUUGCUUGCAAACUAAAGAUGGCGACCGGCGCACGGGUGAGUAACACGUAUCCAACCUGCCGAUAACUCAGGGAUAGCCUUUCGAAAGAAAGAUUAAUACCUGAUGGCAUAGGAUUAUCGCAUGAUAAUCCUAUUAAAGAAUUUCGGUUAUCGAUGGGGAUGCGUUCCAUUAGGCAGUUGGUGAGGUAACGGCUCACCAAACCUUCGAUGGAUAGGGGUUCUGAGAGGAAGGUCCCCCACAUUGGAACUGAGACACGGUCCAAACUCCUACGGGAGGCAGCAGUGAGGAAUAUUGGUCAAUGGACGGGAGUCUGAACCAGCCAAGUAGCGUGAAGGAUGACUGCCCUAUGGGUUGUAAACUUCUUUUAUACGGGAAUAAAGUGAUCCACGUGUGGGUUUUUGUAUGUACCGUAUGAAUAAGGAUCGGCUAACUCCGUGCCAGCAGCCGCGGUAAUACGGAGGAUCCGAGCGUUAUCCGGAUUUAUUGGGUUUAAAGGGAGCGUAGGUGGAUUGUUAAGUCAGUUGUGAAAGUUUGCGGCUCAACCGUAAAAUUGCAGUUGAUACUGGCAGUCUUGAGUACAGUAGAGGUGGGCGGAAUUCGUGGUGUAGCGGUGAAAUGCUUAGA